AGAGCCGGCUAGAUAUGGCGUCCUCUUUGCUUGCGGGCGAGCGAUUGGUGCGUGCUUUGGGCCCCGGCGGGGAGCUGGAGCCAGAGCGGCUACCCCGAAAGCUACGGGCCGAGCUUGAGGCCGCGCUGGGGAAGAAGCACAAGGGCGGUGAUAGCUCCAGUGGCCCCCAACGCUUGGUUUCUUUCCGUCUCAUCCGGGAUCUGCACCAGCAUCUGAGAGAAAGGGAUUCCAAACUAUACCUCCAUGAGCUCCUAGAAGGCAGUGAAAUCUAUCUCCCAGAGGUUGUGAAGCCUCCACGGAACCCAGAACUAGUUGCCCGGCUGGAGAAGAUUAAGAUACAGCUGGCCAAUGAGGAAUAUAAGCGGAUCACCCGCAACGUCACUUGUCAGUCUGCAUACAAACAACACAGUUCCCAUCUCAUUCACUGAGACUCUGGGCUGAGAUGGUGACCAAGUUUUAAACAUCAUA
rnacentral:sRNA from 1 species